rnacentral:hammerhead_ribozyme from 3 species
AAGCGAAACCCCCUCCGCCGCCCAGGCGGGGGGUGGUCAUCCGGCGGUGGUGCGCCGGGUCCGACGAGCAGCCGAAU